rnacentral:rRNA from 1 species
GGACUACCAGGGUAUCUAAUCCUGUUUGCUCCCCACGCUUUCGCACCUUAGUGUCAGUAUUAGUCCAGGAAGUCGCUUUCGCCACUGGUGUUCCUUCCGAUAUCUACGCAUUUCACCGCUACACCGGAAAUUCCACUUCCCUCUACCAUACUCUAGACAUCCAGUAUCGGACGCAAUUCCUAGGUUAAGCCCAGGGAUUUCACAUCCGACUUAAAUAUCCACCUACGUGCGCUUUACGCCCAGUAAUUCCGAUUAACGCUUGCACCCUCUGUAUUACCGCGGCUGCUGGCAC